GUGGGGAAUAUUGGUCAAUGGCCGGAAGGCUGAACCAGCCAUGCCGCGUGCAGGAAUAAGGCCCUAUGGGUCGUAAACUGCUUUUGUGGUGGAGCAAUAAGACGUACGUGUACGUCGAUGAGAGUACAUCACGAAUAAGCAUCGGCUAACUCCGUGCCAGCAGCCGCGGUAAUACGGAGGAUGCAAGCGUUAUCCGGAUUUAUUGGGUUUAAAGGGUGCGUAGGCUGUUUGUCAAGUCAGGGGUGAAAUACCUGAGCCUAACUCAGGAACUGCCUUUGAUACUGGCAGGCUGGAAUACGGAUGCCGUGGGAGGAAUGAGUAGUGUAGCGGUGAAAUGCAUAGAUAUUACUCAGAACACCGAUUGCGAAGGCAUCUCACGAAUCCGUCAUUGACGCUGAGGCACGAAAGCGUGGGGAUCAAACAGG
rnacentral:rRNA from 1 species